rnacentral:tRNA from 1 species
GCCUGGGUGGCUCAGUCGGUUGGGUGUCUGACUUCCGCUCAGUUCAUGAUCUCAUGGUUUGUGGGUUCGAGCCUCAUGUCAGGCU